rnacentral:rRNA from 1 species
CAGUCGCCGCGGGAACACGUAGGGUGCGAGCGUUAAUCGGAAUUACUGGGCGUAAAGCGUGCGCAGGCGGUUCGUUAAGACAGAUGUGAAAUCCCCGGGCUUAACCUGGGAACUGCAUUUGUGACUGGCGAGCUAGAGUAUGGCAGAGGGGGGUAGAAUUCCACGUGUAGCAGUGAAAUGCGUAGAGAUGUGGAGGAAUACCGAUGGCGAAGGCAGCCCCCUGGGCCAAUACUGACGCUCAUGCACGAAAGCGUGGGGAGCAAACAGGAUUAGAUACCCCCGUAGUCCCUGUCUCUUAUAC